AACGAACGCUGGCGGCAUGCCUAACACAUGCAAGUCGAACGAGACCUUCGGGCCUAGUGGCGCACGGGUGCGUAACGCGUGGGAACCUGCCCUUAGGUUCGGAAUAACUCCCCGAAAGGGGUGCUAAUACCGGAUAAUGUCUUCGGACCAAAGAUUUAUCGCCUUUGGAUGGGCCCGCGUUGGAUUAGCUAGUUGGUAGGGUAAAAGCCUACCAAGGCGACGAUCCAUAGCUGGUCUGAGAGGAUGAUCAGCCACACUGGGACUGAGACACGGCCCAGACUCCUACGGGAGGCAGCAGUGGGGAAUAUUGGACGAUGGGCGAAAGCCUGAUCCAGCAAUGCCGCGUGAGUGAUGAAGGCCUUAGGGUUGUAAAGCUCUUUUACCCGGGAUGAUAAUGACAGUACCGGGAGAAUAAGCUCCGGCUAACUCCGUG
rnacentral:rRNA from 1 species